rnacentral:rRNA from 1 species
UACGUAGGGAGCAAGCGUUGUCCGGAAUCAUUGGGCGUAAAGCGCGCGUAGGUGGCUUCGUAAGUCCGUUGUGAAAGUCAAAGGCUCAACCUUUGAAAGCCGAUGGAUACUGUGAAGCUAGAGUACGGAAGAGGCGAGUGGAAUUCCUGGUGUAGCGGUGGAAUGCGCAGAUAUCAGGAGGAACACCGAUGGCGAAGGCAGGUCUCUGGGCCGAUACUGACGCUGAGGAGCGAAAGCGUGGGGAGCGAACAGG